rnacentral:rRNA from 1 species
ACUGGGAAUUCCCCUAGUAACGGCGAGCGAACGGGGAAGAGUCCAGCGCCGAAGUUCGUUCUCCUCCGGGGGCUCGAACAAUGUGGCGUUCGGGAGGGAGCUUUCCCGGGACGGUCGUAGCAGCAAGUCCCCCUGACAGGGGCUCUUACCCGGAGCGGGUGCGAGGCCCGUGGUUGCUACGUCCCCCCGGGACGCGACUUCCCAGGAGUCGGGUUGCUUGGGAGUGCAGCCCCAAGUCGGUGGUAAACUCCACCCAAGACUAAAUACGGCCGCGAGACCGAUAGCAAACAAGUACCGUGAGGGAAAGUUGCAAAGAACUUUGAAGAGAGAGUUCAAGAGUACGUGAAACUGCUCARAGGCAAACGGGUGGGCCCUCGAAAUCCUCUUGCGGAGAGAUUCAGUCCGGAGCGGCCGGGGCGGACGCGGGUAACGGACCCUCGGAAAGGACGGGUCCCGCGACGCAGUCCCGGUCGUGCCGGACGCACUUCUCCCCGCAUUCGGGACGCCGCAACGGAUCGGGUAGCUGCGAGAGUCGGCCUUGGGGCGGUUCCAGGCAGGUGGCCGGGCGUCGGGCUUCGUGCCCCCCGCCCGGUUAUUCACGGGACCGUUCGUGGCGCGACACCCGAUCGAGGUCCAAGUUCCCCUUACGGGGAACCCUCCGUCUCCGUCUUCGUGCGCGGUGCCCGGGCCAGUGAGCGCCGCCGACGUCGAACCACUCUCCGCAGUGGCCGGCGCGGCGGUACGCCGCCGUUGGGCUCGGGUCGACCGCCGGAGACUUCCGGAACGGUUAGCGGCGAGUAGGUCGGUCACCCACCCGACCCGUCUUGAAACACGGACCAAGGAGUCUAACAUGUGCGCGAGUCGCAGGGUCUUGUACAGGCCCUCGGGCGCAAUGAAAGUGAAGGUACCCCUCGCGGGACCGAGUUGGGACUCCCGUCCCGAAAAGGGCGGGAAGCACCAACGGCCCGUCCCGUCCGACUCGUCGGUGGGGCGGAGUCCGAGCGCACCCGUUAGGACCCGAAAGAUGAUGAACUAUGCCUGGGCAGAACGAAGCCAGAGGAAACUCUGGUGGAGGUUCGUAGCGGUUCUGACGUGCAAAUCGAUCGUCAGACCUUGGUAUAGGGGCGAAAGACUAAUCGAAUCAUAGAUCAUC